rnacentral:rRNA from 1 species
UACGAAGGGGGCUAGCGUUGCUCGGAAUCACUGGGCGUAAAGCGCACGUAGGCGGAUUCUUAAGUCAGGGGUGAAAUCCUGGAGCUCAACUCCAGAACUGCCUUUGAUACUGGGAGUCUCGAGUCCGGGAGAGGUGAGUGGAACUGCGAGUGUAGAGGUGAAAUUCGUAGAUAUUCGCAAGAACACCAGUGGCGAAGGCGGCUCACUGGCCCGGUACUGACGCUGAGGUGCGAAAGCUAGGGGAGCAAACAGG